AUCAGGAAGAGGAAGAAAAUGACAUCUAAGAGCAUUGGACAUGGGGACAUAGGGGAAGUCCUAUACUAGCGUGUACCUCUACAAGUAAGGUCCAACAUUGUUUUUAGAAUUUUCUCGAUGACUCCCAUGCUUGUUGUUCCUAGGUGCUCCUUCCUCCCUCUUAUGAUU
rnacentral:pre_miRNA from 1 species